rnacentral:misc_RNA from 1 species
AAGUCGUAACAAGGUUUCCGUAGGUGAACCUGCGGAAGGAUCAUUAACACGUAUCCAACGUUAAAACAACCCCCGUUUCAGCUUGCUCCUGUAGCCCGUGAAAACAGCAAUCCCUGGUAAAUCAUUGUUGACCAGCUUUUGAGUCAGGGACCUCUGCCGAUUGUGAUAUUUUCUAGCUACGGUUGAGCGAUUGCAUCUAGUGACCUGGCAUCCCCAAGUAAUCAGUGUCUGAAAACGCAGUCACGAUCGCUGUAGACCCACAGGCCGGCGACCGGGUCACCGGGCUCUGCCCUUACGACAACACAGUACGAAUUGGCCGCGCGUGAAAUUCGCACGGCACCAAAAACCGAACAACUGUUAACAAUGGAUAUCUUGGUUCUC